GACGGACGCUGGCGGCGUGCCUAAUACAUGCAAGUCGAACGGUCUUUUCUAUGGAAGCUUGCUUCCACUGAGAAGAUAGUGGCGAACGGGUGAGUAACACGUGGGUAACCUGCCCAUAAGAGGGGGAUAACAUCCGGAAACGGGUGCUAAUACCGCAUAGUUUUCUUGAUCGCAUGAUCGAGAAAGGAAAGACGGCCUUUGUGCUGUCGCUUAUGGAUGGACCCGCGGCGUGUUAGUUAGUUGGUGAGGUAACGGCUCACCAAGACGAUGAUACGUAGCCGACCUGAGAGGGUGAUCGGCCACAUUGGGACUGAGACACGGCCCAAACUCCUACGGGAGGCAGCAGUAGGGAAUCUUCCGCAAUGGACGAAAGUCUGACGGAGCAACGCCGCGUGAGUGAAGAAGGUUUUCGGAUCGCAAAACUCUGUUGUCAGAGAAGAACAAGUCGGAGAGUAACUGCUCCGGCCUUGACGGUAUCUGACCAGAAAGCCACGGCUAACUACGUGCCAGCAGCCGCGGUAACAC
rnacentral:rRNA from 1 species